CCAAACUUCAUAUUCAUCUCCUCAUCAGCAGUAAUGUCUUCUGUGGCAAUGUGCAGUAAGAGCUUAGCAUUUGGAUGGUUACGUGCAAUUUUCUUCAGCUCAAUGUCACUGUCACAAGUCAUGAUGUUUAUUCCAGCUUUUGCUGCAUACUUUAUCUGAGAAGCUUGCUUGCAAGGAUUUGUAUAUAUAAUGUUUUCAGGAGAAAUGCCCAGGCCUUGCACCAAUGCCAUUUCAGAUUUACUGGAACAUGCAAAUCCAAUCCCAAGGGUUCCCAGGAUUUCAAGGACACCUGGAGUAGAAUUGCAUCUUACAGUAUAAAAUGGUUUUAUUGGUGCCAUCACAUUCUGCCAUUGUAUGUUUUUCUUUACAAGUUUUCCAAGAUCACCAACAUAAAAUGCUCUUUUUCCAGUAUGAGUAUGUUCAUAAAUACAGUUGUCAAUAACAUCUGCAAGUGUUGCUCCUUCAUCCAACA
rnacentral:lncRNA from 1 species